rnacentral:rRNA from 1 species
UACGAAGGGGGCUAGCGUUGUUCGGAAUUACUGGGCGUAAAGCGCGUGUAGGCGGGUCCUUAAGUCAGGGGUGAAAUCCUGGAGCUCAACUCCAGAACUGCCUUUGAUACUGAAGAUCUUGAGUUCGGGAGAGGUGAGUGGAACUGCGAGUGUAGAGGUGAAAUUCGUAGAUAUUCGCAAGAACACCAGUGGCGAAGGCGGCUCACUGGCCCGAUACUGACGCUGAGGCACGAAAGCGUGGGGAGCAAACAGG